AUGUCACAACCUGCAACAUACAGGGGUAGAAAGCUCUACACAAGCCAGAAUGUGCUUAAUGUUGUUGACUUUGAUCUGAAGUUUACAUAUGUGCUGGCUGGUUGGGAAGGAUCAACACAUGAUGCUAACAUUCUUAGUGAUAGCAUGAUCCAUCCUGAUGGCAUCAAUAUCCCCGAUGGCAAGUACUACCUACGAGAUGCUGGUUAUGAAUGCCGUCUAGGUGUUCUUCCACCCUUCAGGAAAAUCAGGUACCAUCUAAACGAGUUCACUAGUAGGAACUAUUCUAAGACUCCACAGGAACUAUUUAAUCUCAAACACUCCAGCCUUAGAGUUACUGUUGGGAGGGCAUUUGGAACUCUAAAGAACAGGUUUAAGAUCCUGAAUCAUAAGUCAUCCACACUUUCCAGGUCCAUGUGA
rnacentral:rRNA from 1 species